rnacentral:rRNA from 1 species
GACGAACGCUGGCGGCGUGCUUAACACAUGCAAGUCGAACGGAAAGGCCCUGCUUUUGUGGGGUGCUCGAGUGGCGAACGGGUGAGUAACACGUGAGUAACCUGCCCUUGACUUUGGGAUAACUUCAGGAAACUGGGGCUAAUACCGGAUAGGAGCUCCUGCUGCAUGGUGGGGGUUGGAAAGUUUCGGCGGUUGGGGAUGGACUCGCGGCUUAUCCGCUUGUUGGUGGGGUAGUGGCUUACCAAGGCUUUGACGGGUAGCCGGCCUGAGAGGGUGACCGGCCACAUUGGGACUGAGGUACGGCCCAGUCUCGUACGGGAGGCAGAAGUGGGGAAUAUUGCACAAUGGGCGGAAGCCUGAUGCAGCAACGCCGCGUGCGGGAUGACGGCCUUCGGGUUGUAAACCGCUUUCGCCUGUGACGAAGCGUGAGUGACGGUAAUGGGUAAAGAAGCACCGGCUAACUACGUG